GGAGGAUUACCCAAAGCUCCGGCUGAAGGGACGGUCUUGAAAACGUCAGGUGUGUAAAAGCACGCAAGGGUUCGAAUCCCUUAUCCUCCU
rnacentral:tRNA from 1 species